UACACUACCUGGAUCCGAGAGGAAGAAUGGAAGCUCUAGUAAAGGAAAUUUUGCCAAACUGUACUGUGAGAACAGUGAUGAAAAUGUUGAAAAGUGGGAAAGAAAAAACUCUGCCUCAUUGGUUUCAACUACUGUAAAUGGAGACGGAACUGUGAAUCCUGGAGUGGAGAUCGGUAAUUCUGAGGUAGAAUAUAUUGAGUCUGAGAAUUUGAGUGAUGUAGACGACAUUGAUACCUGUGUAAGGACACUCUUGGCUGGACUAGACUCCAAAGAUUGGAUUCUGGUUUGUGAAUCACUUAACAAUGUACGUCGGUUAUCCAUAUUUCACAAGGAAGCAUUGCUGGAUAUGCUGGGUGAUGUGAUACCACUCAUUGUCAAGUCAUUGAAGAAUCCAAGAAGCGCCGUUUGUAAAACCGCAAUUAUGACUUCUGCUGACUUGUUCAAUGCAUAUAACGAUCACUUAAUUGAUUCAUUGGAUCCUCUGCUUGUACAGCUUCUUCUCAAGUCUUCACAAGACAAACGAUUUGUAUGUGAGGCAGCUGAGAGAGCUCUGGUAGCAAUGACGACUUGGGUUUCCCCUACACUGUUGUUACCAAAGUUAC
rnacentral:misc_RNA from 1 species